UGGGGAAGAAUUGUAGUGAAGUCAGGCGGAGGAGCAACGCGCAUGCGCAGGGAGUGACUGCGAGAGCUGGGACCUGGAGCAUCUCCGGGCCAGGAGAAGUCGACCUAGGCGACCCUCAUCUGUGGUGGCCGAUGCAGCCUCCCGCGCUGUUCCACCCGCUCCUCCCACGCCGCCCCUCCCCCCCAGCCCGCCCCCCGCGCUAAUUCGCGGGUGAGAUGCUGGAAGACUGUCGUCAGAUUUUAAUCUGAAAAGAGCUUUGGAAACCAUCAGCUCCUACCCCCUCACUUUACAGAUGAAGAUUUUGUGGCUAGGAUCACACAUAUAGACCUUCUGUGACCAUAUUCCUUCUCCAGAUGAGGAAACUGAAGCAAACAGGGUUAAGCGACUUGUCCAGGGCCACAUAGCUAAUAUUAGAAGCCACAUUUGAACUCAGGAAGAGUGGGGUCUACCUGAAUCCAAGCCCAGAGAGAGCCACCUAAUGGGCCAAGACUUUUCCCUAAAUCCUCAGAGGAAUUAAAACUUCAGAUAGGACAGUCAAUAGGGAAUUAGAGGAAGGACUGAACUAUCUCUAAGCUGAACACCAAUGGAGAAGUAAUGAUGUAAUUAGGGGUGGAGAUUCACAUUCAUUGUGGGGAAGUAUGAGCUCCAGAUAACUUGAGACUUCUGUAGUACUCAGCCAAUGGGGCAUCAGGGGAGGAACUUGAAUUUUGGAUAUAAUAAAGGAUAAAUAUUUAUUCCAGGCAUUCCUAUUCCACAGAGUACCCAUUUCUGCAGUUGUGUAAUUAAAAAUCUUUUAAACAUCA